GACUAGAGGAAAAUCUGGCGCUGCGAUCGUUCAACCGAUCGCAACCGAUAAAGCUAGGGAAACGACGGAGCAUAUUUUAUUAGAAUGUGAAGACGUAUAUCCAGCGGUCGAUUUAGGCACCACUGGCCUCCUUGAAGCCCUUGGGUUUAGCGGGAGCAGUGGUAAAGCAAACAGGUCCGCAAUAGACAUCAGUAAGAGGCGAUUGGAGGAUUGGUGGAAGAAAAGUAGGGAAACGACAAAAGACGGAGACGUACAAAAGCACAGUUCGCAAUAGGGUGUCAGAAAAUUUGGACGUGGUAGUUCAUAGUGGGUUUUUUUUUUUUCUUCAUUGGUUAACCUAGGUAGGAUAUUAAGCAGCAUAGUAGCAAGAGCUUGGUGGCGCAAGCCACCGGCCCGUUCCAAAGGGGACGCUCAUAACAUCCAUCCAUCCAUCCACCCGGACGUAUACAAUGGCAUCAACGUUUUGGAUGUCUGAUGAACAUCCAUUUAGUUGGUUCAUCAGACGUACAGCAGACAAAAUUUUGGAUGUCCAUGGAACGUCCACAAAGUUUGUACUUUAGACGUGCGUUGUAGGCCCCCCGAAGCUUUUUUUUCGCAUUGUCAACGCGUGCUUCUAUGAUUUUGACGUGGCCGAUGCUGCGCAGUUGGAGCCUAUAGUUUGGUGCGACAAUCGCCCGGUAUCAUCAGUGAACAUGUAAUGAAUUAUAACCAGCUAUAACGUCCCAUUUCUAUCUUUUUUUUUGGCAAUUAAUGACUUUUUUAUUUCCGACUUUGGAAAAGUAAUUGAAAAAACAAGGCACAGUAUGUUUGGGAAUGAACUGAUAUAUAUAGUAGAAAAAACUGCAUGAAAAUUAUAUCAAGGCCCUCUACUUUUGUUGAGCACCACCAAACUUUUUAAACUGUGGCAAUCUUCCCGUGUGGAAGUGAUUGCGUAGCCUCCGACACUUGACACUCCAUCUCGGAGGCCAUGUGCGUCGAAAGCAAGGAGCCGGUAGCAUGCCACAAAUCUUGCACUAAAUGAAAAAUGAUGUUUAAAGACGUCAGAAAAGUUAAAUGAUUUAAAGAGAUUUUAGGCAACAUUAUUGUCCAAUUAUUAAUUAUUAUCACAGUCGCGUGCCUGUCAUACGUCUCCAUAAGUGCAUAGGAGGCGUUGGUGCAGCCAUUGCAACGGCGCAGCAAGCAAGCGUAUGCGGGGAUGAAACUUAUGUUCCAAUCCUGGCCAGUUAGUUCUUUAUUCCAUGUGCUGGUGCUGAGCUUUCUCUAUGGCUGAGCAGUGCUGAUCUAUGCUGUGCUCCCUGAAGGGCUGCAGAAGAUAGCGCCAACCUUUCCGUUCUCACAACGAGAUGCUAGACAUGACACUUCGUUUCUUAUUCUCGCCAUGUCUGCAGUGGUGUCCGGUCGUCAGCAGGCACAUGGUUUUCAAGGUUUAGGAUGCUCAAGCCAGCCAGCAAGAGAGUGAUCUUUCAAGUACGGUUCACCUUCCAGCCCCAUAUAGCAUCGUACCAUGUGCCUUUAAGAGUGCUGGCAAAUCUUCGUCUUUUGAAACUGGUAGCGGUCUAACUUGUAGUCACCGUAAUGACUACAAGGCUAAACCUCACUAUCUUCAGCGCCCAGAAAUAUUCCUUUUGAAGUGGCAACCUUAAGAUGAGCACACACUGCAACAUGUUUUCUUGGUAGUACUGCUGCGAAGGCCAAUGCAAUUACACUGCUGCUGUGUUGAGCCCAGUGUAUGAACACCAACCAGAUAACGCUACGGAGAUGUAGAUGUAGCAGCUCGUCUCCAGCAUCAGCUUAAUGCUUUGGCCUUUCGUGGCACCUGAUUGCAUUUUAAGUAGUGCUGUAUGUUUUCAAAAACGUGACAAAUAUAGAAUCGUGUUAUGCGAUUUUAGGCUGAGUGUAUGGAAAGCAGGGAGACAGUUUAAAAGGAAAGGACUGAUCUGGUACUGCUACGAAUGGCUCAGCACUCUCAGCAGCAUGGUGUGGCCUGGUACCACUGCCUUAGGUAACCACUAACUGCAAUUACAUUGACAUUCCUUAUUAUCCAUGAAUCUACACACGAAUCUGCUGUAGUCACUCGCAUCGAAAUAUGAUAGUUAUUCUACUCGAAUAAUUUAUAGAGCAUACCAUUUUUGUACUUAUACUGCAUGCUUACUUAUUCGAGGACAAUCACUUCCUCAUCGAGUAAGAACAAUAUGUUAAAACUUUUUUUUUUUAUGAAGUAGCUGUGUUCCAAAUUUUUCCCCUUUAUGGAUAAGCUAAUUUUGCACCCUUCUGCAGCCGGGGGUUGCCUGCUUUUCUUACAGAAUUUAUCAUUGUGCUAACGUAUUGGUGGUUUUCAGAUUGUUUUUCCUAUAGGAUAUAUUGCUCUUCUGGGCCUUCAGCUGUUGCUCUCCUUUGUUUCGCUACAUUUUCUAUUUUUCUUUUGCUGAAUACAAGGCUACUCUAAUAGUGUUUUGAUGUUUCCAUAUGUGAAUUUUGUUUUUGUUCAUGAGAAGUCUGAUAAUGUGCCAUUUGUGUUUUAUUUUACUGGAGAGAAUGUAACAGUGCACUAGAAGUGUUCCUUGGCAGGCAUUGCUUUUAAUGUCUCAUUUUAUUUAUCCUUUAGUAUGUUUAUGCUUAGCUGUUAUGCAUACGUGGUAUUUUUGUAUUGGUUCAUGUGUUAAGUGUUCAUUGUGCCUUUCAGAAACCAAGAGAUGGCUUUGUGUUGUAUUUUUACUGUUCACUUUAUUUUCAUGAGACAGCUGCAGUCUGCCAUUGUAUUUCACUGCAAAUAUUGUGUACAUCAUUACGUACUUGUCAAAUGGUUGAUACCAGGAAGAAGUUUCACAAUAAAAAUGCUGGUGGUGACAA